UAGAAUUGGAAUCCAAAUUCUCUGAAAACCUCUCCAUUUUUCAGGCCAAAUAAUUUUAAAAAAAAAAUAACACAAUGCCCAAUAACACGUUGACACGUGGCAGUGUCAAAUGAGUGUCAAAUAUAAGAUGUCAAAAUAACGGGAUCCUUUAUGAAAUUGGUGGUUCAAGGUCUCCUCAAGCAACAUUACUGCUUUCGCG
rnacentral:lncRNA from 1 species